ACUAACUCUCUCAGUCCUCAGCCAUCGUCACCCUUAUCGAAACGACCACGCCUGUGUGUCCCCCCGCGUGUAACGCCCUCACGUACAGCGCCGCCCACACGCCCACGCCCUCCGUACUGACUGUCCUCGCCCUCUUUGCCGCUAUCCUCCUAAGGAACUAAAGAGAACACAUGGUCCCGAACAUCAGGCAUGAAGGCGUGCUAAUCUAUACUAGUGCAGGAAGCGCCCACACCUCUCCCUCACACCUUUCUCUCUCUCUCUUCCUCUUCCUCUCCUUAUGUCUUGCUCUGUCGCCUCUCCAUCUCCUCUUCUCCUCCUCUUUCUCCUCCUCCUUAUGUCUCUCAGUUUGAUGUGGAUUGGUUAGGUUAAGUUGUAUUCCACUUUUUAAUGCUUUUUCUCUGACUUUUUUUUCUUUAUCUUUUUUUUUUUUCUCCGAUUCUCUUCUUUUUCGUCUUAUCUUGCAUUCUACACCUGUUCCUUUAUUCUUUCUUUCCCUUAUUCCCCUCCUCCUCCUACUUUUUCUCAUUCCUUUCUCGUUUAUUCUCCUCCUCAAUCUCCUCUUCUUCAUUCUCUCUCUCUCACUCCUGUUUCCUUCAUUCCUUUUUCAUUCUCCUUCUCCUUUUUCUUCUUCAUUCCUAGCAUUUCACUCUUGUUUCCUUCAUUCCUUUUAUAUUCUCCUCCUCCUCCUCAUUCUCUUUUUCAUUCCCUUCUUCUCUUUAUUCACCUCCCAGUUCGCAACAAAAAAAAAAAAGUGGAUUGAUUUACCUUCUUCCUUCCUUCCUUCCUUCCUUCCUUCCUUCCUUCCUUCCUUCCUUUCUUUCUAUCGGCCUUUCCUUUAUUGCGUCCUUUCUUUCCUUCCUUCCCUCCGUCAGUGGUGAGUAGGAUCAAGUCAAGGCCGUAUCCUGCAGGUCCUAAGGCUGGGCGAAGGAUGUCAAGAGGUCAGGACUUCAGUGUGUGUGUGUGUACGUAUGUUUGUGGACACUUGUGUAGAAAAAAAAAAAGUGGAGGUGAACAUACACAUAAGAACAAAGAUCAGUAGUGUGUGUGUGUGUGUGUGUGUGUGUGUGUGUGUGUGUGUGUGUGUGACAAAGGUUGUGUUAUCCUGCCUAUGUAUCGCACUCCAGCAGCAAAGAAAGAAAGAAAGAAAAGAAAAGAAAGAAAGAAAGAACAGAACCUAAUCUCGAACCAGUUUCAAGUCUCAGAAGCAGUUUCAUGAGCCAGUUUCAAAGCACACACGUUCUCAUAUACCCCGUUCACAUUAACACCGAAACUAAGCCCCGCCUACUCUGACCCAACCACCAAUCACAUUCAACCUCUCCCAGCAUCCACCAAUCCCAUGCAGCCUGGGUUCAGAAGGGGGCGUGGCCUACUGAUGGAGUGGCCACUGAAAUAACAGCUGAAGGGAAAAGUGGGCGGGGCUAAAUUCUGAAAAGUGGGCGGGGCUAAAUUCUGAGCCUAGCGUGAACGGAGUAUAUAGUGAAGCUGAAGUCCACAUUAUGUAUAUAUAUGUAUGAGUGAUGUGUGUUUUUUUUCUUUUUAAUAAGGGGAGGUGGGUGGGUAUUUAGGAAGUGAAUAACCUAUAACAAAGAGUAGUUUAAGUUUAGAUAAUUUCAGAUCCCCCAAAACAAGCAAACUCCAUGUGUACGAUAGUUAUAAGAGGUUUCGAUUCUCUAUGACACAGUAUUUUCAAGAGGGAGUUUGAGGAGGGAUAUAGUUCUCUCUCUCUCUCUCUCUCUCUCUCUCUCUCUCUCUCUCUCUCUCUCUCUCUCUCUCUCUCUCUCUCUCUCUCUCUCUCUC